ACGUGCUCUAGCGGAAGCAACAACAGUCGAGAGACUAACAAAAAAGCAACUUGACGAAGACGACGGCAAGAAGGAAGCAAUGGGAGAACUUUCUGUUUGCAACUCUGUCUGCACCGGUGGGGAAAACCACACAACGGGAACUACAUAAAACAUUUGGAAAAAGAGAUGGAUCACUGUUACACUCUAGCAAAGAUGCCUGGGUUUUGUGGUGUCUGUGUUUAGUUGUUUGAAGAUGAAAAGUUCCCAGUUCUCCCUGGCCUGGAAAGUCUCCAGAACAAGCACAGAAGGCAGAGCGAAGAAGCACAGAAUGAAGCAGAGGUGCACCAUGGCGUGCAGAUGCCACC